UACAGAGGUCCCAAGCGUUGUUCGGAUUCACUGGGCGUAAAGGGUGCGUAGGCGGUCGGGUAAGUCUGAUGUGAAAUCUCCCAGCCUAACUUGGAAACUGCAUUGGAUACUAUCCGGCUAGAGGAAUGGAGGGGAGACUGGAAUACUUGGUGUAGCAGUGAAAUGCGUAGAUAUCAAGUGGAACACCAGGGGCGAAGGCGAGGCGCUGGACAUUUCCUGACGCUGAGGCACGAAAGCCAGGGGAGCAAACGGG
rnacentral:rRNA from 1 species